UACAGAGGGUGCGAGCGUUAAUCGGAUUUACUGGGCGUAAAGCGUGUGUAGGUGGUCAAGAAAGUCGGUUGUGAAAUCCCUGGGCUCAACCCGGGAACUGCUUCCGAUACUUCAUGACUCGAAUUCGGUAGAGGGAGGCGGAACUCCAGGUGUAGCGGUGAAAUGCGCAGAUAUCAGGAGGAACACCGGUGGCGAAGGCGGGUCUCUGGGCCGAUACUGACGCUGAGGAGCGAAAGCGUGGGGAGCGAACAGG
rnacentral:rRNA from 1 species